rnacentral:misc_RNA from 1 species
CUCCUUUCGCCCCAGCGCUGCAGGUCCUCUUGGUCCUCGCUCUCUUUGCCGCUUCCUCCUACUCAAUCCCUCCGCCGAUUCUUUAUCCAAAAAAAUCUCACGGAAGAUCCAGCUUCCUCCAUUUUCACUCCUUCAGUUUUCGUGUUCCAGUCCGCGCUUCCUCCAUCUUCGCACUCCUUCAGUCUUCGUGUUCUAAACUUCUAAUCUGCGCUUGGGUUCAUUUUUCCCCCACGGCUACUGCAGAUAUUGUUUAUCAUGUUCAGAUCCCAUUUCUUGAAUCAUUUUGUUCACCGUUUGCUCGACUUCAUGGUUUUAGGGUUCGUGUUCUUUGUG